GUACCUUUCAGGUGUUUCUUGCCGUGAGACAUUUUUGGGUGCUUCCAAUCAUAACAUCUAAAGCAAUAGACUUUUCCGACAACUUUGACCACAAAUUGAUGAUGUGGAGGAUAGUAAUGAGUUGGUGGUGGUGGAGAGUUGUAGUAGUAUGGAGGAGGUGGUGACUUAACAGGUGGUGGUGGAGAAGUGUAGUGAUAUGGUGGAGGAGGUGAUUUCGUGGGUGGUGGUGGUGAGGAGUAGUAGUAUGGAGGAGGUGGUGAUUUAACAGGUGGUGGUGGGGAAGUGUAGUGAUAUGGUGGAGGAGGUGAUUUCUUUGGUGGUGGUGGUGAGGAGUAGUAAUAUGGUGGAGGGGGAGACUUCACUGGUGGUGGUGGAGACUUGUAAUAGUAUGGUGGGGGUGGUGAUGGGGAUGGUGGAGGAGGAGAGUUGUAAUAGUA